rnacentral:lncRNA from 1 species
UUUGAAUCCUUAGUAACUUAUCUUUUGAUGGACCUUGACAUUGUAUUCGACAUGGCUCAGUAUAUGUAUUUGUCUAUUAUUGUGAGUGAUAUAACAUGAUUGAAAAGUUAAAAGACCUUUUUUGUUAUCUGGAUUUUAUUGCAUUAUUAUUGUAGAGGCUUUGUCUGAGAAAUCAAUGGAGGCACACUUGACAGGGAAGACGCAUAUGGCUCGGACACGGAAGAAGCAUAUGGCUCGGCUCCAGGAACUCCAAAAGAUGUCGAAAAAACUGAAGUGGUCGAUGAUGUGGGUGCAACUGUCAAUAUAAUUAACCCCAAGGAACAAGAAGAAGCGUUCACCACAGGGGAUAACUGAGUUAAGUCAUGUUCAGGGAAUAAU